UACGGAGGGUGCAAGCGUUAUCCGGAUUCACUGGGUUUAAAGGGUGUGUAGGCGGAUUUUUAAGUCAGUGGUGAAAUCUCCGGGCUCAACCCGGAAACUGCCAUUGAUACUGUCGAUCUGGAGUAUGGAAGAGGUGAGUGGAAUUCCGAGUGUAGAGGUGAAAUUCGUAGAUAUUCGGAGGAACACCAGUGGCGAAGGCGGCUCACUGGUCCAUUACUGACGCUGAGGUGCGAAAGCGUGGGGAGCAAACAGG
rnacentral:rRNA from 1 species